ensembl:lncRNA
GGGCCACAGGCAGCCACCAGCCGCCCACCCGCAGGCCCUUCCCAUAGCUUCCAAAGAGCUGGAUGGAUCCUCAGAGCUCAGCCCCUCCCCGUCAUUGUCCGUGAACACAGGGAGGGUCACCACCUCUCUGAGAUUUGAAUUUCAGACUCACAACAAAGAAUGCGGUACUUAGCCACCAGAUUAUUUGUUGUGACUCUGAAAUCCAGGUUGCACUGAGCUGUUUUAUCUGAUGGCGGAAGUGAAGGUGAAGCAGGGGGAGGUUGCGCAAACACAUCCCUAUUGACGCUGGCCCUGGAGGGAGGGCUUUGGACUGGGCCACCUGGGGGAGAGGCUCCACCCAUCAGGGUCCUGCCUUCUUCCCAUCCCUGGAGGGGCAAAGAGCCCACCCCGAUGGCCUAUGCCAGGGCAGCACCAAGUGCUCACUUUCAGCCAGCUGCCCUCUGGUGUCCUUGGGUGGCCCAGCAGUAGUGAUGGUGGCACCGCCCCACGUGGCUGCCUUCUCCUGAUCAGGUUGGGCCAGCCGGCUCGUCAGGACCACGGAGGGCUGUCUGCAGUCCAUAGCUGAUUAGCGGGCCUCCGGGGAGCACCCAGCGCUGGUCCCAGGAAUCCUCCGUGUGGGCCACAGGGCUGCUGACCCAGCAUGGAGGUUCCAUCCAGGAGCUCGGACCGAGGGAUACUGACUUCUUUCAGUGAUCUGGCAUCCUCAGUGACAUGGGCUUCUGACUCAGGGCCCCAUGGGAGCUCAGGACAGCGUGUAGACACCGUCCAUCCUCGGUCCUCCCCCACCCGGAGUGUCUCGCAAUUUGAAACACUUGGUUUAGAAUUUGACUCCUUUCAAUUCAAAGAUGGUCCUCUGUUAAAGUGCACAUCUCCCCUCUCUAGAGUAGUUAGCCCAUCACACUUGAGUAUGAAUUAAUAGGUUUGAGGAGCUGAAAUGAGGGGCAGACAAUUCCCAGGCAGAGCAGAGCCUCAGCUGACACAGAAAGCCCUGGGCCCUGAAGGGCAUCAGGGAGGGGCCAGCAAGGAAUGGUCCAUCCACCUGCCCACCCCCGUGGCUACUCGGGAAUCUGGGGUUCUGCCAAACUGGGGCCCAGGGCGGAGGGCAGGCCAGUCCCUAUCCCAUACCUCUGCUCAGAACCAGGGCUUGCUGAGCCCUUUGAGGACUGUCCAGCAUUUAAAGCAGAGCGUUUACAGAUCACCCAGUUUGACGUGUUUGAAUUUGGAAGCCGGUGACUCUGGAAUGUCACAGAUGCAUUUUUAGCCCAGCACUACCACCCCCUCCUCCCCUUGCUCCAAACCCUCCCUGCCCCUCCCUUCUCUCCUGUCUUUCUUCUUUCUCGUUUGAAGGAUAUUUUUGUGCCCCUCUGAGAUUUGUGUCUGACAAGCUCCACAGCAAGGCACUCCUCUGGACACAGAGCCUGCCACCCUGGGGACAGGACGCCGGGUACUGUGCGGGUGCCCUGUUCAGUGGAGAAGGAAUUUAAGCCAAGGCAGAGUGCCUGGUGACCUGUGGACGGGAAGUAUGUCACAGGCCAAAAGCCUGGCAUCCUGCCCUUCCUUCCUUAGAGCCGGGACUGCAGCCCACCAGGCUCCUCUGACCAUGGAAUUCUCCAGGUAGAAAUACUGGAGUGAGUUGCCAUUUCCUCCUUCAGGGGAUCUUCCUGACCCAGGGAUCGAACUCUUGUCUCUUGGGUGUCCUGCAUCGGCAGGCGACUUCUUUAC